rnacentral:misc_RNA from 1 species
AACGCACCUUGCGCUCCUUGGUAUUCCGAGGAGCAUGCCUGUUUGAGUGUCAUUAAAUUCUCAACCUUACCAGCUUUUGCUAGUAACGGCUUGGACUUGGGGGUCUUUUGCUGGCUUCGUCAAGAGGUCUGCUCCCCUUAAAUGCAUUAGCCGGCGCCCCGCGUGGAACCGUCUAUUGGUGUGAUAAUUAUCUACGCCGUGGACGUUCUGCUUUAAUGGGUCUUUGCGCUGCUUCUAACCGUCUGUUAACUCGGACAAACCAAAUGACAAUUUGACCUCAAAUCAGGUAGGACUACCCGCUGAACUUAA